GUUCACGUAAAGGAAAACAGAGAAGGCCAUCCCAGACACAUACACAACUAUAUGAAAACCAAGCCCAUUCCCUACUAUGCUCAUCUAGCAAGGGCAAUAGGUGGCACACCACAAGCUCCUGUGGGGCAGUUACACAAGCUGGCCUAUUAUUUGAAGAAGGACUGCAAAGAUUCAGAGCAAUUUGCUUUGGGAAAAAUGACAUCAGAAGUGAUAUUCAAUUACUCCUUUUAGAUGGAUUUCCAGAGAGACUGACUUUGUUCAUGAGCAACGACACAUCUUCUACACAGAUGGAUGGGAAGAAAGAAGAGAGAGGUGUAGACAAAGAUACAUUUCUAAGUGUGUUUGCAAGGGGGCCAGGAGGCAGACAGCAUGUGACCUGGGGUCCUCUGUGUUCUCUGUACAGCAGGAGAUGAGAACAUGCUGAGUGUUGGAGAAGUGGUGGUCAUCCCACUUGCUGUCCUGUGAUCCCCCACCCCACCUCUGGGACGUUGCCUCUUUUUGCUCUUGUAUCUUCAAUGCCUUUCUUCCUACCAGUUCUUCCAUUCAGCUGGUUAACAACCCCAAGAUUCUUUUAUUCCUCCCUCCAAAAGUUCCCCUGACUCUCAUCCUUCAUUCCCUCUUUCUUGAAACUCUCUCCUACAUGGUUCCUGGGACACCGUAUUCUCUUGGUCUACCUUAUUAUCCUAUUCGAUCUCUAUUUUAUUUUUGAGUUCUUCUCAGACGCUCUUUCCCAGAUUUCUCUACCCUGUUUCUCCUCACUGACUGCUGCAGUCAGCCUCCUUGAAUGUAUGUCUCUCAAUUCUAGCUGCUGUCCUAAGCAAGGCUUGAGCAGAACACCAGGUAUUGAGUAUAAUUAAAAUAUGCUUAUCCUCUCAGAAAUCUAUGUUCAGAAGCACCCUUAAUCCUUUUGCUGCUUGCAUUACACUCAACCUUACAAAAUAAAGUGAUA
rnacentral:lncRNA from 1 species